GGGCAUUUGGUCUAGGGGUAUGAUAUCUGCUUCGCACUUAGAUACACGCUAUCUAAACAUAUAGUGUCUGCAGAGGGUCCUGGGUUCAAUUCCCAGAAUGUCCA